rnacentral:rRNA from 1 species
CCUACGGGAGGCAGCAGUAGGGAAUCUUCCACAAUGGACGAAAGUCUGAUGGAGCAACGCCGCGUGAGCGAUGAAGGCCUUCGGGUCGUAAAGCUCUGUUGUUAGGGAAGAACAAGUAUCGGAGUAACUGCCGGUACCUUGACGGUACCUAACCAGAAAGCCACGGCUAACUACGUGCCAGCAGCCGCGGUAAUACGUAGGUGGCAAGCGUUGUUCGGAAUUAUUGGGCGUAAAGCGCGCGCAGGCGGUCCUUUAAGUCUGAUGUGAAAGCCCACGGCUCAACCGUGGAGGGUCAUUGGAAACUGGGGGACUUGAGUGCAGAAGAGGAAAGCGGAAUUCCACGUGUAGCGGUGAAAUGCGUAGAGAUGUGGAGGAACACCAGUGGCGAAGGCGGCUUUCUGGUCUGUAACUGACGCUGAGGCGCGAAAGCGUGGGGAGCAAACAGGAUUAGAUACCCUGGUAGUCCACGCCGUAAACGAUGAGUGCUAAGUGUUAGGGGGUUUCCGCCCCUUAGUGCUGCAGCUAACGCAUUAAGCACUCCGCCUGGGGAGUACGGCCGCAAGGCUGAAACUCAAAGGAAUUGACGG